AACUGAAUUUGUUAUCAAAAUCUUCCCUUUGAACUCUGUUAGGUAAGAAAAGAUCACAGUCUCACACACGUGCUUUCAGAAAUAGAGGAGGAAGAAACACAUCCCAGUAUAUUUUAUAAGGCCAGCAUGUCCCCAAUACUAAAUUUGACGAAGACAUUUCAAAGAAAAAUAUUAAAACGCUAGUGAAGUUGGCCACAUGGUUUGGCUUUCUUUCCCCACUACCAGCUGGCAGAUAGGUCGCCCUAAUUUGGGGCAGGGGAGAGUAGGAUAGCUGGAGAGUGAGAUUUUUUUCUAAAGGCUCUUUUUAAAAAUAGGACACUUUUAUGAACAACAAUAAUAAUAAAUCAAUCAAAAUGUUAAUGCAUUACAGAGAACAAAAGUGCAACCAGCUAUAAAGUUAUUCCAUCUAACAUAUGUGUCAUCUUUUAUACCAUCUAAAGACAAGUGCUUGCAAAAAAAUUUCAAAAGCAUCAUGUCUGCCUGUACAUUGAGAAUAGCAAAUUCUCUUCAGUUCAUUUGCGUUUUUUCAUUGUUUUGAAAGAGGACAGAAAUUAUACUGUUGAGUUUUAAAGCAGUUGUGAGCAACAGAAAAAAAGAAUAAACAUUUUUAAUUGCUCCCAAAGCAAUAGAUACUCCCACGACAGACAACUGGGAUUUUGACAAAUACAUAUAUAAGGCAGAACAUGAGCAAAGAUGUAAAUAUCUUGGGUUAUUUCUCUCAAAGUCUAGUUACCAUGACUUUCAUUUUGGAAGAAAGUCCAGUAGACAUCAUCUAAGCCAGAUCACACCAGCAUUUCCUGUUCAUUCCCCACUUUUUAGUUAUUGUAGUGUGAAAUUUCACAGCCAUACUUUCUGCGUCAGCUUCAGAAGGCAGGAAUCCAACGUUACUCUCAAGUUCUUGAGAUUCAUUGAUGAGCCUCAUCAUUACUGGUGAUUAUUCUCCCUCUGCUGUGUCCACCAUAUCGUCAGUGACAGUGGAGGUGAAGUGAAUCUCUCACUUCCCCAUCUCUUCCCAUGCAGCUCUUGCAGAUCUCUAGCACCUGUUUCCUCGGCGUUUUCAAACAGAAUGAUGUAUUGUCGAAAAGCACUUUCUCUGACCUGCCUCACCAGUAUCUGCCCUGCAUUGCAGUGGUGCUCAAACUUUAUCAGGAGAAAAGAGACCCUUGGGGAUUUGGUCAGCCUCAUGUUCAUCCAAAGGCAUCUGGAUGAAUGGCAAUAUCACUUAUUGAUUUGGGACUAUAAAAGGAGCACAUUUAACAAGAUAACAAGAAGACCUACCUCAUGUGUUUUCAUGAGAACGAAAUAAAAAAUUGGAUCACCUAGCAUAUGAGCCUCCUUUGAUGAGCACGAUCCGGGACAGCUGGGAAGUUCAUGAGAGGGAUGUAAAAACAAUAUCGUCAGAGUUGACCUCAAACCUCCCCAGCAACGCGCGACACAGUUGGAGAGACGCGUGCAGACACCAAGCAGCAUGUGACGAAGGCCCCUCUGCCCUCUGGAUCCACGCCACGGCUGGAAGGGCUGACACUCUCGAGAACUAUCUUCAUUCUCUUCACUUGUAGAAAAACAUUUAAGUGGGAAGAAGAAGGAUGGAGGACAAGCAGGCCCUGUUUCAACAUGAGUCACCUUCAAGGGCAGUAUAUUAAUUAACGACUGAUUAUCCUUCAAAAUAGUAGUAUAGUGCUGUACCUCAAAUCCCCUGCAUCAGAAUAUGAAUUGUUAAAAGGACCCCUGAAUGAUAAGGUCUCUCCUGAGUCCACCGAGCACAGUGUUUUCUGUGCAUUUCAUCACAUUACAAAUUAGCUGGCUUAUUACAAAAGUCUGGUUGAAAUCCUGCUUUUGCUGAAGUUGUCUGUCUCUUCAUCUACUGCUCUGGCCAGAGCACUCAGGAAGACAUUAGAGACUGUAAGUCAUUUAUUUAUUUAUAGCAUGGUUGAUAGACUCAUUGAUAUUAUAUAUGAAAAAGCUCUGCCAAAUUUGACAAUUUACUCCUUACUCUAUCCUAGAUUUUAGGGUUUUUUUUUAAUUGUUUGGAACAAUUGAUGUUCCAAAUGGGGUAGGAGAAGGGAUUUCUUAUUCUCAAAGAAAUAAAUUAUUCUCCCUCCCCUUGAGGUAUGUGUAGGAGAAAACUUGUAGGCAGGAGGAGGCAGGAAUACAGGCAGGGAGGAUGGGAUUACUUGCUACCAUUGCCUCGGUUCUGAGACUAAAGUUAGGAAGUGUGCAAAACGUCACUAAUCUUUGGGAUGAGAAUAAAUCUUUGAAUACUAAUAAAUCUAUUUUGUAUCAAAAACUAAAUGAGUUCCGGACCAGUGCUGUUUAAUAGAAAUGUAAUGUGAGCCACAAAAGCAAGCCACACAUGCCAUUUUAAAUGUUGUAGUAGCUGCAUUUAAUUAGUAAAAAGAAAAAGGUAAAAUUAAUUUUAAUAGGAUGUAAUUUAACCCAAUAUGUACAAAUGUUAUAAUUAUUAACAUUUAGCAUUUUGUUUUUCAUAAUAAAUCUUUGAAAUCAAGUGUGAAUUUUACACAUGCAGCGCAUAUUAAGUGCUCCAAAGCCACCAAGCUGGUCACCUCAGGUCUAAACAAUCUAUUAAAUGAACCAUAUUGCCUUUAAAAUAUUUGCAGGAUCUUUAACAGCCAGACCAAAAGCACUGACUGAAAUUAUGAAGGUGAAACUGCAUUUUUAUUAUUGUGAGGUCUGACCUCUGUCAUUUAUACUUACAACUCCAGCCGCCUAACAGACUUUUCUCUAAGGAUUAUUUUGUCAUCCAAUUCAAUUUCACAGACUCUCAUCUUCUAAACACAUGCCUGAGCAGCAUCACACCCCUCGCUCACACAUGCACACAUCCCAGCCCACUGGAGUGUCCCGACCUCUAGUCUCUGGGAAUUGCCUUGGAAAUUAGGAAAAUACUUUAAUUCUGAUUGCCUUUUUUUUUUUUUUUAACGCAGAAAGCAGUAUCAGUAUGUUCUGCUUUAAAAUACAAUCUGCCUAUGUCAAAACUUUAUCUAGGUCUUGGGUGGCCACAAGAAAGAUGCCAAGGAGCAAAUGGCUCUAUUGUUUGAAGUUAGACAGUUGGCCCUCUGUAUCUGUAAGUUUCACAUCCACGGAUUCAGCCAAGCAUGGAUUGAAAAUAUUUUAAAAAAAGAAUGGUUGCA